rnacentral:rRNA from 1 species
AGUGAACGCUGGCGGUAGGCCUAACACAUGCAAGUCGAACGGCAGCACAGUAAGAGCUUGCUCUUACGGGUGGCGAGUGGCGGACGGGUGAGGAAUACAUCGGAAUCUACUUUUUCGUGGGGGAUAACGUAGGGAAACUUACGCUAAUACCGCAUACGACCUACGGGUGAAAGCAGGGGAUCUUCGGACCUUGCGCGAUUGAAUGAGCCGAUGUCGGAUUAGCUAGUUGGCGGGGUAAAGGCCCACCAAGGCGACGAUCCGUAGCUGGUCUGAGAGGAUGAUCCGCCACCCUGGAACUGGGACACCGUCCCGGCUCCUACGGGAGGCAGCAGUGGGGAAUAUUGGACAAUGGGCGCAAGCCUGAUCCAGCCAUACCGCGUGGGUGAAGAAGGCCUUCGGGUUGUAAAGCCCUUUUGUUGGGAAAGAAAAGCAGCAGGUUAAUACCCCGCUGUUCUGACGGUACCCAAAGAAUAAGCACCGGCUAACUUCGUG